AGCUCUGUAAGCGUAUGCCAAAGUUGUUGCAGUUAAAACGCUCGUAGUCCGAUUUUGGUGGCUUCCGAGAGUGCGGCGCGUCGUGCGCUAAUCUUCGCAGGGGCUGCUUUUGUGGGGCAUGCGUCGGAUGAGGCGACUUUAUUGUUGAAUGUCCGCACGCAACAACCGUUUACUGGGAAAAAAUUAAAGCGUUCAAAGCAGGCAUUUUGUCGUGAAUACAUAAGCAUUGAAUAAUUGAAUAGGACUUGGUCUUAUUUUGUUGGUUUGUUAUGACUGAGUAAUGAUUAAAGGGGACUGCUGGGGGCAUUUGUAUUCGGGAGCUAGAGGUGAAAUUCUUAGAUUUCCGGAAGACAAACCGCUGCGAAAGUGUCUGCCAAGGAUGUUUUCAUUGAUCAAGAAC
rnacentral:rRNA from 1 species